rnacentral:rRNA from 1 species
UACGUAGGGUCCGAGCGUUGUCCGGAAUUACUGGGCGUAAAGAGCGUGUAGGCGGCUAGGUAGGUCCGUUGUGAAAACUCGAGGCUCAACCUCGAGACGUCGAUGGAAACCAUCUAGCUAGAGUCCGGAAGAGGAGAGUGGAAUUCCUGGUGUAGCGGUGAAAUGCGCAGAUAUCAGGAAGAACACCCGUGGCGAAGGCGGCUCUCUGGUACGUGACUGACGCUGAGACGCGAAAGCGUGGGGAGCGAACAGG